UAAACUACCCACACAGGUCAAACACAACGAUGUCAACUGACAUGGAUUCGAAACAAGGACUUAUUUACCCGAUAUGUGCACAACACACAUGCAUCUUUGCAGAUCACACAUGAUCUGCAUCUAUACACGUGACAUUUUCAGCAGUCAACGGUUUGACGAGGCGAGUGACGCGCGAUUACAACCUGUGACCCAAAGCGUACACACCUGUUUGCCUACCGACAUGUUGCUAGGACAGAUAAUAUUGUGGGGCUGUUUUACUAUAACUGCUUCUGCAGCGAAGCGCGACCGUUAGCCAGGUAAACUACGAUCGAUGCUGACGUGAAAGCUAUGAACUGAGCGAAGGCGAGAUAAAACUUUCCUUCUAUACAACACCGUGCUUGUAUCUUGGCGAUUGCUUGAAUUCUAAGGCAAUGGGGUUCAGCUGAGCAAUGUACCAACGAGUUGACCUGAGGUCGUUCGUCACAGGUGACUUAGCCAUGGAGACGCUCUUUAACACAGCUUUGCAGUAACACUGCAUUACCAGGCUUACCGUGCGGUGUGCCUCCCAUCAGCUUUUCAUAUCAAAUAGACCUCAGUCGUGCAGGCAGACAAGCAACAUGGCGGUCUCCUGGUGCAUACAUGUUGCUUGUACCGUGUUGAUGUUUGAACUUGUUUUUGCUGCAACAACAGCAUCGUCGAACAGCACCAGCAAUACAACGACUGUAACUACAGCUUCACAACCCACGACGAUAUUUAGUGAUGGAAAAUGUGAGUUUUUCCUUACGAAUUCAAAAACCCGUGAUGAGCUAAGCGAGGCUUUGAAAGGUGGAGUGAGAAUGAUAAAGUACAACGUGAAAUUCAAAGGUUACCCUGGUGACGUAUUAAUUGCAGAAGGAGGGGAUUUAUUUCGACCGAAUCUAUGGAUCAGAUCUACUUCAAGACAAGGACAAAGUUUGUUGAUGUUGGAUGACAACUUUGAAAUGUUAUCGUUGUCGUUACUUGGAAUAGGAGUCGUGUUGAUGGACGUGGAACUUCACGAGAAACCACAAGGAUGUAUGAAUCAUCUGACCCCCGAGGAACGAGAGAACAGUACAAGGUACAUGGUAUUUAAUGACUUUAAGUUACCUGGCCCAGGUGAGAAGAGUCGAAGUCUGAGUAAAAAGGAACGAAUAUGCAACAUGAGAAUAGUCCCAGAGAACGAUAAAGCUAACUUUGUGUAUCACUGUUGUCAUAUUGAUCCAGAUGGGAAUGAAAUAUGUGAAGAUGUUCAUCGCGACUUAUGGAUUAAUGUUCUUCUGAUUUGCAUCAUAAUCAUCAAAGUCAUGGUCGUUCUGUACAGCCCAACAUUUGUCCCAGAAACCUUUUACAGGAAGAAAUUCACAGCAACAGAAUAUGUUCAUCAUAUUCCCCCAGAUAAGAAGAAAAAGAAACUUAAAAUCGUGAAGACCAUGUACCCAGGCUCCUACACCAGUGAAAACCCUCCGAUCAGACUCGAGAAGAUCGAAGGACUGGAAUAUAUGAAGCUGUCACUUAACAGUCUGCAAGUUGACAAAAUAUAUGACGUAAAACUCGAUCGUAUUCAACUGUUAGUGAAGGCGAGGAAACUGUUAUCCGAGACGUACGUCCCUGUGUCUGUUACAAAAAUGAUAUAUGAGAACAUAUUCCGCUGCAAAAUGAGGAACCUCCCAUCCCUCAAACCAUGUUGUGAUACUGGAAUCUGUGGCGUUAUUGACGUUGGCUGCAAGGUGUUAACCUGGUUCAGAUGUUUGAGAAUUUUUGCCAAAUUGAUCCUCAUUGGUCUCCUGGCCAUCCCGUGGAUUAUUCGACUUGUUAUGUACUUCACAUACGAAGCUGCUAUAGUGGAGGAGAAAAACGAAGCUGCUGAACGUUUUCAAGCUGGCAUGCACUUCCAUGGCAGUUUUACGCUCUAUCUAACCCCACUCCAUGGACUGUUUGUAGCUAUUUACAUCAUAGUCUCCAUUGAUUCCUUUGCGUAUGGACUCCUUGGAACAGCAAUGAAAAAUCGAUUCAAGUUUAUUCUGAGAAAAUGUCUGCGUGACAUGCGUGAACGAUCCCGUUCAUCUGCAUAUGGAUGGGCAGUUGCUCUUGCUCUUCUCCCCUUCAAGAGAUUUGGAUUGAUUGGUUUCCUCCUGGUCCCGAUAUACUGGAUCCUUCUCCUGCCUAUCAUGGUCCCCAUCCUGGCCUUCUACACUUUUCCAGCUCUAAAUCUCAGCAUCAGGCUCAUCAUUCAUCUCUUCCUCUUCAUGUGCCCGAACAGAGUCCUGGACCACUUCAACAAGAUGUCAGAGAACAUGUCCAGUGUUAAAAAUAAUCUAAACCUGAAGGACAUUGGUGAGGAAGAGGAGUUCCAAGGAAAGGAAAAUAUGUCCAAGAAAGAAGUUUGUAUUCAACUUUGUAUCAUCAUCAUGUGUCUCACAUCCUUCUGGUCCCUCACAUUCCUGUUGAUGGAGUGCCUCUCAUUCUUCGUGGAAGUUGGAGUUUACACUCUAAUGGGCAUCAUUGUCAAUGCUGGAGCUACUCUGCAGUAUGUUACCGUGAUCUUCCUUAUAGGGAUGUAUGCUAAAAACGCCUUCAGUGGAGUUCAUUCAAAGUAUCUGGAUUACCACAAGAUCAUCAGAGGUCAGUUGCUGAGUAGGAAACGGGAGGAAAUGAAGCAGACAGCCAGACAAGAUUCUAUGAUCCAGGAAAACACUGUGUUCCGCGUCCAGAGUUCGUAUAACGCUGCUGACAAAACUUCAGGAAUAGGAAUUGAAGUAAAAGAUGGAAAUCUAAGAUGGACAACAGAAGGUCUACUGGUGUUUCUAAGCAGCAUGGAUCAGCCUUUCACACCAGAAAAGUUCUUCUUUGAGACAAUAAAUAUGAACUACUGUGGUUGUCCUGGGAAGUUAUGGCAGAAUACUCUAUAUGCCUUCUACAACUUUAUGAAGAUAAUGGUGUUUCUAUUCUUCGUGGUGAUUGUGGUGCUUGCCUUUGGAAACCAGUUUUCCACAACCAACCAAAUGUUGGCAACUUUGGCUGGUGGAUUUGUUCCCUUUGUUUUCAGGAAUUUCUUCAUGAAAGGAGCAGGUUCCUUUACAGUUGAUACUGGAAGUAUUCAAUUCGUGACCGAAUUUGAGAGCACCAUAGCAAGAUUUACUCAGAAAUGGUCUGUUUCUGAUAUUAUUCCAGCAUCUAUCACUGAAGCUGGAGUACCACUGGAAUUAGCAGAGGAGGUGAAGCCAGGGGAUGAUGGGGGAAGAGAAGAAGAGAGCGAAAUCGUGCAUCCAGAUAACAACAACGCUGAAAACAAAGACUCCUCACCCCUAAUUGAGUCCAAUGAGACAAAAGACAUAAGACUUGACGUUGAUUCUGAUGACUCGGAGUUUGAUGAAACUAAGGUAGAUUUAAUCAUUGACAUAGCCAGGUUUGAUAAAUUAAACCGUCGUAUCGGCAUAGAAGGGUCGUUGGUUAAUGUAGGCUCCUUGUCAAUGUUGGCAGAUGGCAAUGCUUCAAUAUACAGAACUCCACAACACACAAAUACAUUUGUUGUGUAGUCUUCCUUUUAUAUCGAUCUUUAUUUAGUUAUUUUAUUCUGAUGAAGAAAUAAGGAAACACACACCAAUACCACUGAAUAUAAUGUUACUGUUGUAUUCAUUAAAACUGAUUCAGAUUUGUCCAAGUGUAAAGUUUUUGAAAUGUGAAAAGUAUUCCUCGUGUUCUCAAAAUUGCCAAAUAAUCUCUGGAAUUUCUAGCCAAACGCAGGCAUGCCUUCCAAGCCGUUCACUUAUUUCACUUUACCAGUUUAUUACUUAUGUCAUGUGCAGGUUGUCAUGUAAACCAUUGUCGACAUAUAUAAUCUUAUCAAAUGAUCUAUAUAUUUAUAUAUUAUUCUUGUACAACUUGAUUCGGUCACGGUAUGGCUGAAAUACUGCCGAUGUGACUAUAAAUCUGAACUCGCUCACUCACUAUCAAAUGAUUUUACUUAUUAUGUAGGAGUUGUUGCAUUAGAGGGGAACAAGAAACUGAAGUAAGACGCUAGGUCUUUUGAUUUCUUGUAACAUAAUCAGUGCAAAUCUUGGUCUUAGUAUUACAGGUUAUAUUAUGUCUCAACAAUGCCUAUUAUGCGUAGACACGCAACUGCCUACUUAUCAAGUUCCACUUCAAUCUUACACUACUUACAGCGUUGUAAAGAUUAGAUGCCGAUAGGUGAAUGUGGAAGUAUUGUAUUCACAUACAUAGGUUCAGUUACUGUUAGCGUGUACAAACCACUUAUAAUUAGUAAUAUACUGUAUUCACAUAUAUGCUGACCCGUGAAGAUCCGGGAUAGAAUAGGUCUUCAGCAACCCAUGCUUGCCGUUAAAGGCGACUAUGCUUGUCGUAAAAGGCAACUAACGGGGUCGGGUGGUCAGGGUCGCUGACUUGGUUGAUUCAUGUCAUCGAUCCCAAUUGCGUGGAUCGAUGCUCAUGAUAUCUAUCACUGGAUUGUCUGGCCUGGACUCGAUUAUGUACAGACCGCCGUCAUAUAGCUGGAAUAUUGCUGAGUGCGGCGUUAAACAACAAACAAACAAACAAACCACAUAUAUGCUUAGCAUUUCCAUAUGGAAUGAACAACAGUUGUAAGCAUUUGGAAUUUUCAAGUCGUCUAUAAACAACAUUGAAUUCUGGGGUGAUACUUAAAAACAAAAAUUUGACUUGGUUAUUUUACAAGGUAAAAGCAGGUGUGACAGCAUGCUUUUAUUAUCAAGUCGCCCAUAAACAACAUUGAAUUCUAGAGAUAUCGUUAAAAAACAGAAAUUGCACUUGAUUAUUUUAGGUGAUAGCAGCUGUAGUAGAAAGAUAUCCUACUUAGUCACUGUAUAUAUAACAUGUAUCAUUACUAGACUUUAAUGCAUACACUGCCAGCUUAUGUGUCUCUUCAAAUCAAUACAACCCUGAAUACAAUUGUACAUACCGCACACAAUAGCCUGAUUAUAUGUUCGGGUAAAUGCAUGUGUAGUGUAAUAUAGGCGUGAACCACGAUCCAUAAGCAGCAUUCAUUGUAAUACAUGCUGUACGUAUGUCAAGCGUGGUGUUGGUAUAUCCAUAGAGACAUUGCCUAGACCAAGGACAGGACCGACUGAUAUGUUGCACUCAGCAUCCCACCUGUGCAUCAAUAUGUAGACUGUGUAGUAUCACAUUGUUGUAUAUGUAAUUGAAUUACAUCGGCAGCUGUUACAUGACCUUGGAAUAAGUUAUAACUGGUUCAUAAAAUGACAGACUAAACCUUGAAAUUACCAUAAGAGUGACGGAAGAGAUAUCAAAGCAUAGCACGGAUAUUGAUGAGACUGCAUAAUUGUGUAGCUUAAAACAGGCAGUUGCGUCCAUGUUACAUGUGAAGCCUUAAAGUACAUCCUUAAUGUAACAAUAGUUCCUUGUUGGCUGGGUUCAAAUAUAGGACGCAAAACCAGGAAACCAGAACCAAUCUUAUUUUCAAAUUGAACCAUCCUUCCAGCAGUAUCAACGUAACACGUUCCUGUGAGGCAGAGAAAAGGGCAUAGGUUAGAGUGAGUGGGUAUGGUUUUACGCCGUGUCUAGCAAUAUUCCAGCAAUAUCACGGCGGGGGAUACUAGAAAUGGGCUUCACACAUUGUACCCAUGUCGGGAAUCGAACCCGGGGCUUCGGGGUGACGAACGAACGCUUUAACCACCAGGCUACCCGACCGCCUCCGUAUAGGUUAGAGACAAUAUGUAAGUACUCCCGAAACUGAAACGAAAGGUUUCAGUUAUAUCAUAAAUAACAUUUUACCACUCCAUUUAAUGUUAGAACACCCUCAUCCCAUCACCGUUAAGCAGUCAGCUGGAGGAAGAACUGAAUUAAUUCGAAAGAAGCAGGGAGUGUAUGUAAAUGAUAUAUGGAUGCCGUGAAAGCAGUAUUCUGUCCCUGAUGAGAUUUUUAAUAUAUUUUCCGUAAUUGUCAGAUGUUUUCAAUGUUAUGAAUGUUAUGCUUGGUAGAAAAUGUGCAUGUCUCGAAAAAAUAGAAUAGUCUAUCCUUUAGCCUGUGUAAUCUGCUUAUAUGCUAGAGUCUGAGUGAAGCCAUGUGAUUAAUGUUAAGUGUGUGGGAUCAUGAUGGUUGACAGAUAAAUUGAUCUGUCCUAUCCAUGGUUAUUUUUUUAAUGUUAACGCACCGAAUGACACAACAUAUUUGACUUUCAAAUACAUACCACUGAUGUUCAUUCAAUCUCGCGCCUUCACACAUGCCAUUAUCAUUUUCAAAUUCUCAUAUUUGCUUUUGUAAUGUAAAUAUAUUGCAUGUCCUUUACCUCAUGACAUGUACAACGCGUAUUACGUGAAAUCCAAUAGGGUACAAAGUACCCAAUGCUAUACAAGUUAUAGACUACGCUGGAAUCAAUAGCGCUAUUGACAUCUGUCUCGCUUGGUUUUGCUUCGGCCAGACUUCAACUUUUUGAUACUGCGUGUUCGUGCAUAUUCAUAAAGAUCUCUGAAUACAAGUGUAUGGUGCUAUGAACUGACAAAUCAAAUAUCCUUUAAGCAUAAAUAAUUUAAAUAAAUAUUGUUUAUUAUUGUCUGUACAUGAACUGCAAACACGUGUGAGUCGAUCAUUAUGUUUAUGUCGUUGUUGACAGGAGAAUUGAAUAUAUUAAAUCAUGUUUGUUGACUACAUGAAUGUUUAAAAACUAUAUUUUACUCAGUUGUGUGUUUUACCUGAAGUUCAAGUAUUUCGGUGACUGUUUUCAGCCUAGUAACGUUUAGAUAACCUUUGUGAUUUUUUGGUCAUGUCUAUGUGCAUAUAUUCUUUUGCCUGGCAGUUUAUUUUCAUGACAUGUGUCAGAAAUUGUCUUCCAGAAUGACACCACCUCCAAUAUUCCAAUUAAAUAACACGUUGCUGUACAUUCGCUUUCUCUCGUCCGUUUCCGAGAAAUGUUCAUGACACACAUUUCAUGCAGCGAAAAUAUAGAAUGCUAACUCGGUUGUACAGUGCAGUAUGUUAACUGUUUGGUCAGUUCACUUAUUAACUUCUAUCAGGUAAGGCUUUAUUCUCUUGUGGUUGCAGUCUAUAUAAAAUGCAUUUGAUUAAUUACUGAUUUAAAAAAGGUUUUUGGUAAGGUAUUUUUAUAGUUCUAUCUGUGUAGUUUCGAGUCACGCCAAAGGAAGACCGGUUGAGAAAUUAAAAAUAAAUUCUAAACUAUUUUCACAUAAUUGUGUGAAAAGAUGUUGCCUAAUGUGAAGCCUAUAACCCAUCUAGCAUAAUAACGUCAAGUCAUUCGUGCGUCUGUGCCACAUGGCAUGCGUUACAAUAUAGAGCUCAGAUUGCUUGUGAGACAUCAUCCUCCCGAGGCAAGAGAGUUAACUGACUUUAAAAGUCCAGUUUCCACACUGGACUUUUAUAGUCAGUUACCUCUCUUGCCUCGGGAAGAUGGUGAGACAUAUGUACAUCUAGAUGUGUUGUUGUUUGCUGUUUUACCAAUCCCAUCAUGCCAACAGAGAGCAUAAUUCAUUUACAGAACGAGUAUUUAACCAUCUAUUUUCAUAAAAAAGUACUUUCAUAUGCUCUUUACAUUCCUAUGCAAUGACGUUAGAAAUAAACCUGUUUCAAGUA